GGAUCCAGACUUUGAUCAUGGCUCACGAUGAACGCUAGCUACAGGCUUAACACAUGCAAGUCGAGGGGAAACGACAUCGAAAGCUUGCUUUUGAUGGGCGUCGACCGGCGCACGGGUGAGUAACGCGUAUCCAACCUGCCCACCACUUGGGGAUAACCUUGCGAAAGUAAGACUAAUACCCAAUGAUAUCUCUAGAAGACAUCUGAAAGAGAUUAAAGAUUUAUCGGUGAUGGAUGGGGAUGCGUCUGAUUAGCUUGUUGGCGGGGUAACGGCCCACCAAGGCGACGAUCAGUAGGGGUUCUGAGAGGAAGGCCCCCCACAUUGGAACUGAGACACGGUCCAAACUCCUACGGGAGGCAGCAGUGAGGAAUAUUGGUCAAUGGACGAGAGUCUGAACCAGCCAAGUAGCGUGCAGGAUGACGGCCCUAUGGGUUGUAAACUGCUUUUAUAAGGGAAUAAAGUGAGUCUCGUGAGACUUUUUGCAUGUACCUUAUGAAUAAGGACCGGCUAAUUCCGUGCCAGCAGCCGCGGUAAUACGGAAGGUCCGGGCGUUAUCCGGAUUUAUUGGGUUUAAAGGGAGCGUAGGCCGGAGAUUAAGCGUGUUGUGAAAUGUAGACGCUCAACGUCUGCACUGCAGCGCGAACUGGUUUCCUUGAGUACGCACAAAGUGGGCGGAAUUCGUGGUGUAGCGGUGAAAUGCUUAGAUAUCACGAAGAACUCCGAUUGCGAAGGCAGCUCACUGGAGCGCAACUGACGCUGAAGCUCGAAAGUGCGGGUAUCGAACAGGAUUAGAUACCCUGGUAGUCCGCACGGUAAACGAUGGAUGCCCGCUGUUGGUCUGAAUAGGUCAGCGGCCAAGCGAAAGCAUUAAGCAUCCCACCUGGGGAGUACGCCGGCAACGGUGCAACUCAAAGGAAUUGACG
rnacentral:rRNA from 1 species